rnacentral:rRNA from 1 species
UGGGGAAUAUUGCACAAUGGGCGCAAGCCUGAUGCAGCCAUGCCGCGUGUGUGAAGAAGGCCUUCGGGUUGUAAAGCACUUUCAGCGAGGAGGAAGGUGGUGAACUUAAUACGUUCAUCAAUUGACGUUACUCGCAGAAGAAGCACCGGCUAACUCCGUGCCAGCAGCCGCGGUAAUACGGAGGGUGCAAGCGUUAAUCGGAAUUACUGGGCGUAAAGCGCACGCAGGCGGUUUGUUAAGUCAGAUGUGAAAUCCCCGGGCUCAACCUGGGAACUGUAUUUGAAACUGGCAAGCUAGAGUCUCGUAGAGGGGGGCUAGAAUUCCAGGUGUAGCGGUGAAAUGCGUAGAGAUCUGGAGGAAUACCGGUGGCGAAGGCGGCCCCCCUGGACGAAGACUGACGCUCAGGUGCGAAAAGCGUGGGGCAGCAAACAGGAUUAGAUACCCUGGUAGUCCACGCUGUAAACGAUGUCGAUUUGGAGGUUGUGCCCUUGAGGCGUGGCUUCCGGAGCUAACG